rnacentral:rRNA from 1 species
UACGGGGGGGGCAAGCGUUGUUCGGAAUUACUGGGCGUAAAGGGCUCGUAGGUGGCCAACUAAGUCAGACGUGAAAUCCCUCGGCUUAACCGGGGAACUGCGUCUGAUACUGGAUGGCUUGAGGUUGGGAGAGGGAUGCGGAAUUCCAGGUGUAGCGGUGAAAUGCGUAGAUAUCUGGAGGAACACCGGUGGCGAAGGCGGCCCACUGGUCCGGUACUGACGCUGAGGUGCGAAAGCGUGGGGAGCAAACAGG